AUUAUCUUAGCUCCACCAAGAUCUUUACCCAAUGCAGGCAGGAAGCAGUUCUUGUACAGCCUCAAAGCAUAGGUCCUUCACUUGUUGGCUGGGUGGCAGGAUGGUUUCUGGUUUGGACUGCACACACUUUGUUGACAAAUCUGCUUAGUUUUUAUACUGUUUCUUCAAAACAUUUUCUUUGAUGGUCGGCCAAUUAAAGUCUGAACAAAACAGGUAGGAAAAGGUUGAUUAUCAUAUUGUAACUGUUAAUUGCCUGGCUCCUGUUCUUGAUUAUCCACGUGUAAAGACUAUGUGUUUCUGCAGCCUUUGCAAUUAUAGGUCAAACACAGAUGAUGGGCCUUGCGUGUCAGACAGGAUACUUAGAGGUGUCACCAAAGUUGUUUUUGGGUAUAUGUUUAUCAAUGGGGUACAUUUGCAGUAGCUCAUAACUUUGGACAUACACUGAAUGGUUAAGACAUUUUUAACACCUUAGAGUGACAUUGGAUGCCUGUUUUAAGAAAUGUGAGGAUGUUAUGUGCAGAACAUUCUCACUGUAUUCAGUGCUCCUUUUACAUGUUUCUUUUGAGAUGGGUAUUUAGUCUUUGUUUUCUUUAGCUGCUAGGUCAAUUGAAAUGCACAUGCAGUUUCCUUGCCUUCACUGGCUCAGUCUUUCUUUAAAGGGCUUUCUUAGGUGCACAUACAUGGACUCUGCCAGCAAUUUUAACCACUUUUAUUAUUUUAUGGCAUGGGUCUGGUAUUGGGUACCACAAGCACUCCACUGUCUCAACGCCUAAUGGGUUGCAAGCCAUUAGCGGAGCUUGAUUUUCUUGUGGCCGUCUUGUUACCAUAGCCCAUCCAGCGUCCUGGAGGAAGGAGGA